UCUUCAUUGGUCUAGUUGGUCACAUGAUAUCUAUCAGUUAUUGAACGAAUUCUAAUACCCUUCGUUAGGUGGUCAUGAUUUCCGCUUGUCACGCGGGAGACCUGGGUUCGAUUCCCAGAUGGAGAG
rnacentral:tRNA from 1 species